rnacentral:rRNA from 1 species
AGAGUUUGAUCCUGGCUCAGGAUGAACGCUAGCCACAGGCUUAACACAUGCAAGUCGAGGGGAAACGAUAUUGGAAGCUUGCUUCCGAUAGGCGUCGGCCGGCGCACGGGUGAGUAACGCGUAUCCAACCUGCCCACCACUUGGGGAUAACCUUGCGAAAGUAAGACUAAUACCCAAUGAUAUCUCUAGAAGACAUCUGAAAGAGAUUAAAGAUUUAUCGGUGAUGGAUGGGGAUGCGUCUGAUUAGCUUGUUGGCGGGGUAACGCCCACCAAGGCGACGAUCAGUAGGGGUUCUGAGAGGAAGGUCCCCCANAUUGGAACUGAGACACGGUCCAAACUCCUACGGGAGGCA